GAUGAAGAACGUAGCGAAAUGUGAUACUUGGUGUGAAUUGCAGAAUCCCGUGAACCAUCGAGUCUUUGAACGCAAGUUGCGCCCGAAGCCACUAGGCCGAGGGCACGCCUGCCUGGGCGUCACACGUCGUUGCCCCCCCCCAUCUACUCCUUCGGGAUUGCGGGGGGCGGAUGAUGGCCUCCCGUGCGCCUAGCCGCGCGGUUGGCAUAAAUACCAAGUCCUCGGCGACGCACGCCACGACAAUCGGUGGUUGCGAAACCUCGGUUGCCCGUCGUGUGCGUUCGUCGCGCAUCGAGGGCUCGAAAAAAUGCUCGGCUCCGGCUCGGCUUUCAACGCGACCCCAGGUCAGGCGGGGUUACCCGCUGAAUUUAAGCAUAUCAAUAAGCGGAGGA
rnacentral:misc_RNA from 1 species